CGUUUUGGCCAGUUUGAAGGUUUUUUAGCAUGUGUAAUGGCAUGAAUGUGUUGAAUUAGUAAUCCCUUGUGUUAAGCCGUUGUUUUAGUGUUCUUUUAAUGAGUUUGGCUUGUUGUUAUGAAAAGUGUUUGUUUUGGCAGAUUUGAACGUUUUUGAGCAUGUGUAAUGGCAUGAAUGCGUUAAGCUGUUGUUUUAGUGUUCUUUUGAUGAGUUUGGCUUGUUGUUGUGAAAAGAGUUUGUUUUGGCGAGUUUGAACGUUUUUGAGCAUGUGUAAUGGCAUGAAUGUGUUGAAUUAGUAAUCCCUUGUGUUUAGCUGUUGUUUUAGUGUUCUUUUGAUGAGUUUGGCUCGUUGUUAUGAAAAGUGUUUGUUUUGGCGAGAUUCAACGUUUUUGAGCAUGUGUAAUGGCAUGAAUGCGUUAAGCAAUUGUUUUAGUGUUCUUUUGAUGAGUCUGGAUUGUUGUUAUGAAAAGUGUUUGUUUUGGCGAGUUUGAACGUUUUUGAGCAUGUGUAAUGCCAUGAAUGCGUUAAGCUGUUGUUCUAGUGUUCUUUUGAUGAUUUUGGCAUGUUGUUAUGAACAUUGUUCGUUUUGGCGAGUUUGAACGUUUUUUAGCAUGUGUAAUGGCAUGAAUGUGGUGAAUUAGUAAUCCCUUAUGUUAAGCCGUUGUUUUAGUGUUCUUUUGAUGAGUUUGGCUUGUUGUUAUGAAAAGUGUUUGUUUUGGCGAAUUUGAACGUUUUUGAGCAUGUGUAAUGGCAUGAAUGCGUUAAGCUGUUUUUUUAGUGUUCUUUUGAUGAGUUUGGCUUGUUGUUAUGAAAAGUGUUUGUUUUGGCGAGUUUGAACGCUUUUGAGCAUGUGUAAUGGCAUGAAUGCGUUAAGCUGUUGUUUUAGUGUUCUUUUGAUGAGUUUGGCUUGUUGUUAUGAACAUUGUUCGUUUUGGCCAUUUUGAAGUUUUUUUAGCAUGUGUAAUGGCAUGAAUAUGUUGAAUUAGUAAUCCCUUGUGUUAAGCUGUUGUUGUAGUGUUCUUUUGAUGAGUUUGGCUUGUUGUUAUGAAAAGUGUUUGUUUUGGCGAGUUUGAAGGUAUUUUAGCAUGUGUAAUGGCAUGAAUGUGUUGAAUUAGUAAUCCCUUGUGUUAAGCCGUUGUUUUAGUGUUCUUUUGAUGAGUUUGACUUGUUGUUAUGAAAAGUGUUUGUUUUGGCGAGUAUGAACGUUUUUGAGCAUGUGUAAUGGCAUGAAUGCGUUAAGCUGUUGUUUUAGUGUUCUUUUGAUGAGUUUGGCUUGUUGUUAUGAAAAGUGUUUGUUUUGGCGAGUUUGAACGUUUUUGAGCAUGUGUUAUGGCAUGAAUGCGUUAAGCUGUUGUUUUAGUGUUCUUUUGAUGAGUUUGGCUUGUUGUUAUGAACAUUGUUCGUUUUGGCCAGUUUGAACGUGUUUUAGCAUGUGUAAUGGCAUGAAUGUGUUGAAUUAGUAAUCCCUUGUGUUAAGCUGUUGUUUUAGUGUUCCUUUGAAGAGUUUGGCUUGUUGUUAUGAAAAGUGUUUGUUUUGGCGAGUUUGAACGUUUUUGAGCAUGUGUAAUGGCAUGAAUGCGUUAAGCUGUUGUUUUAGUGUUCUUUUGAUGAGUUUGGCUUGUUGUUAUGAAAAGUGUUUGUUUUGGCGAGUUUGAAGGUUUUUGAGCAUAUGUAAUGGCAUGAAUGCGUUAAGAUGUUGUUUUAGUGUUCUUAUGAUGACUUUGGCUUGUUGUUAUGAACAUUGUUCGUUUUGGCCAGUUUGAAGGUUUUUGAGCAUGUGUAAUGUCAUGAAUGUGUUGAAUUAGUAAUCCCUUGUGUUAAGCCGUUGUUUUAGUGUUCUUUUAAUGAGUUUGGCUUGUUGUU